AUAACAGGUGCCUGAGGGAGGGGUGAGCGUUAAGUGGGUUUAACAAACUCCAGCUGGGGAUCUGAAAGUGAUUAACUCGGGAUUUUAAGAAUACUAGGCUAGUGUGUUAUUACAAUUUUAGCCUGCCCUACGUGUAGAGUGCAGCUUCAGUUGCUUUCCAAAACAAAAUCGGUUGUUUUGCAUUUAAAAAAGCAGAGUUAAAGAAAAGGGUCGGGCUGAUGGCUAAAUACUAAUGCUUAGACAGUAGGUAAAACGUCUCUUUUGACACAGAUGAGCAGAUGUUAAUCAAGCCGGAGAAUCAACAGGUUGGAGAAGGAGUAAGAGUUCUUUGUCUCUAACAGGAAUGACCAGAGAAGCACACGACUCGAUAGUCAGGUGCAGGUCCUAGAACUCAGGUGAUCGCGAUCGCUGUGAUUGGGUGAUGGUGGAGUCUGGCCAAUCCGUGACAGCAGCUGAACUGGAAGCUCAUAGCCUAGUUAGUCACCGACUUGGCAGGCAGCAUUUGUGCAUGAAGCAGACCUCUAUAAAUAUCCCACCCACUCUCCCAUGGCCCAUGCGGCCCUGAUCUUUCCUGAGGGAGAGGAAAUGUAGGCUGAUUCAGGGACCCGAUCUUUCUCCUGGGAGAGAGGAGAGCCCAGCGAUGGGGGUUGGGAGGGAUGUGGCUUGUUUACAGUGGAGAUCUCUGGAGGUUUGCACUGUACAGUUCAGUGUCGACAAAACAUGGCCAACCAUGAAAGGCAAGAACAACAAUGAACAUCAGAUGAGAGUGAAACAAUGCCAUUUCAUGCAUCAUUUUGAUUGGCUCAAGAUUGGAUCAAGUCAACAUGACUUUGCUUGCAAAACACUGAACUUAUGAAAUGUCAAGUUAGAAAAGAGACGUUAUGAACUUUCUUGAUUCAGAAGAAAGCGGAGACUUAAUUCUUUAACAUUUUUUUUCUUUUUAUUACUGUUUACAUGUCCAGCAUGGAUUGUUAAACACACUCAGAAGAUGUGAACAAACACAAAUGUAUAAAAUCCUCAGUUUCUACAUAAGAAAAAAAUCAAAAACACAAAUCGGAAUGUUAUUAACAGGGUAAAAAUCUAAAAAACACAAAACAAAAAUAUUGAAAAGAUACUAUUUACAAUUAAAAAGAAAUUAAGAUAAUAAAAAAUAAUUAACUGAUAUAUAAUUAAACUAAACUUAAUUUUACCACCAUUAAUGAAGAUGAUGAGGUGUUUAAGAAAACACUGCAGCACAACUUUGUGCACAUUAACAGCAUUGCUUUAAAUGUUAGUGAUUUGCUACAAUAUUUUUGUCUGAAAAUGUUUUGUCUAGUUUUAAACAGCAUAU